AUGGUGGAUACAGGAAAGCAUCUCUCAUAUCCUUUGGUAUAUCGGCUUUUGAAGCUAGCUCUAACACUCCCAGUUGCCACUGCCACCAUUGAGAGAUGUUUUUCUGCAAUGAAGAUUGUGAAGAAUGCUUUGCGUAUAAAAUAG
rnacentral:rRNA from 1 species